UACAGAGGUCUCAAGCGUUGUUCGGAUUCAUUGGGCGUAAAGGGUGCGUAGGUGGCGCCGUAAGUCAGGUGUGAAAUUUCGGAGCUUAACUCCGAAACUGCAUUUGAUACUGCGGUGCUUGAGGACUGGAGAGGAGACUGGAAUUCACGGUGUAGCAGUGAAAUGCGUAGAUAUCGUGAGGAAGACCAGUGGCGAAGGCGGGUCGUCUGGACAGUUCCUGACACUGAG
rnacentral:rRNA from 1 species